AAGUCGUAACAAGGUUUCCGUAGGUGAACCUGCGGAAGGAUCAUUAACACGUAUCCAACGUUAAACCCCCCGUGCACACAGAGACCAGCUCCCCUCAAUUUCGGUCUUUUGGCAAUCUCUGGUAAAUCAUCGCCGAACAGUUUUGAUUCAGAGACAUCCAAAGGGCCGGGGUAGGGUAUUGAAGUAGUUGUCCCAUGCAAGCAGCCUGGUUUCUUGGAAGCAGAAAGUGUGAUAGAAGAUGUCGGAGAACGGACCGAGUGGUAGUUCGAAGAUGACUUCUGUCGCGCGCUGUGAAAAAGAAGACGCUUUACGAAUCACUGACCUGGGUCCUAGACCCCCUGAUCACCCCGACAGUCGCAGACGCGGGUAGGGAUACGUCCUUACCAAAAAAUAAAUACUUGAACAACUGUUAACAAUGGAUAUCUUGGUUCUC
rnacentral:misc_RNA from 1 species